CUAUGGGAGCGGCGACGCUACCGGAUGGGAUGUAAGAAGUCAGCAGAGGGCAUAGUAGUUAGCUGCAUGUACGGCACUAACGAAGGCC
rfam:Marine metagenome ctg_1101668568705, whole genome shotgun sequence.